UACGGAGGGGGCUAGCGUUGUUCGGAAUUACUGGGCGUAAAGCGGACGUAGGCGGCUUUGUAAGUUAGAGGUGAAAGCCCGGGGCUCAACUCCGGAAUUGCCUUUAAGACUGCAUCGCUUGAAUCAUGGAGAGGUGAGUGGAAUUCCGAGUGUAGAGGUGAAAUUCGUAGAUAUUCGGAAGAACACCAGUGGCGAAGGCGACUCACUGGACAUGUAUUGACGCUGAGGUACGAAAGCGUGGGGAGCAAACAGG
rnacentral:rRNA from 1 species